CCCUCCCUAGACUUGCUCCAAAUUUGUACUCUCCCUUUUCAGAAUCACUACUUUGGAGAUUGCUUUAAAAUUCUUAUCUUUUCCAUUGAGUCAGCAAGCUUUUGUCUCUUAAUUUCUUUAGACAAUGACAAAAACUCAUCAUAUUAACACAAAGAGGAGACUAGGACUUACCAGUGGUGACUUUUAUGACAUCCUUGAAGGAGUCUCUUUCAGGAAGAGAAGCAGCUGUGAAUCCUAUUGAGUGAGAAUGGUCCAACAAAUAUCUAUUAGUAUAAUCAGCAAGAAAUUGUUAGAAAUGCACUGCUGCUAUCAGAGAGAAUGAAGCCAACUGACCAACAAAGAGGUAUGACUAUGAAUACUACUUAGCAUAUAUUAUAAUUUGACCCUUCAACUGAAUCCCAAGAAAAAAGAAAG